UACGUAGGGGGCAAGCGUUGUCCGGAAUCAUUGGGCGUAAAGCGCGUGUAGGCGGCUCGGUAAGUCUGCUGUGAAAGUCCAGGGCUCAACCCUGGGAUGCCGGUGGAUACUGUCGAGCUCGAGUCCGGAAGAGGCGAGUGGAAUUCCUGGUGUAGCGGUGGAAUGCGCAGAUAUCAGGAGGAACACCAACGGCGAAGGCAGCUCGCUGGGACGGUACUGACGCUGAGGCGCGAAAGCGUGGGGAGCGAACAGG
rnacentral:rRNA from 1 species